AAGCACAAAGGAAGGUUUGCUUUAGUAAGCUAGAAAUGUUCCCCUCCUUGGAAACAGUGUUUCUUGCAGCGGAUUUGCUGGAAGUUAAAUUGUAAUCAGUUUUUAAUUGAUUUCCUGUAAACUUGGCUGACUGGGCCAAGUCUCCAAGCUACCGCUGCCACGCGUACAGAAGGCAUGUCAGUAACCAUUUUGCUCACCAGUAUUUUGGGGGUGAUUGGUUCAUACCUGGUAACAUCUCUGUGCAAACCUUUUACCUGUGAAACAACAGUAGAGCUACGUUAGUUAUUAGUGGGCUCUUCCAACAAUAAAAAAAUCACCUGUACCCUAAGCAAGUACACACAUAAUCUCAACAUAGAUUUUCAUUUUCUUUACAAAAGAAAGAGCUUAAAGAUUUUUCUAUGUCCUCUGUAUUUUCUAGCUGUGAUUUACAGUGCUAAAUGCAUUUUCACACAUGCUUACGAAUCAAAUUAUAGUAAGAAAUCCUCCUAAUCUGUGACGUAUUUCACUGUUCCAAAGAUUUCAGCAAAACACUCUUAUUUGGCAAGAAACUGGAAAGCACAGAAAUAUAUAUUUUAAGUUCAGUGCUUAACCUUUUCUCUAUUGCCUUGAAGAAUUUACUACCCAUCUGCAGAGCUGCAGCUUCUAAUCACUGUAAUGAACGUGUUUGGCUUUACUAACUGUUAAUGCCAUUUAGUUUUCAUUUUUCUCACUGAAGCAGUAAUAUUUUCUGCUCUCUGAAUGGGAGAGUGUUAUUUUUCCUUCCAGGCCAUGCUACUAAUGUUAUUCAUUUUGCAGAUGCAUACGUUUGAAUUUUCUACGUAGUGAAAAAGGGAGGACUUGACACAAGUGUAAAUGGAGCACAGCACAAGAAAAGAUGCUGCCCAUAGGGAGGAGCUAAAUUAGUGAGGAACAUAUGCAGAUGUUUGUUUGUGAAGCUCACUGGGAUUUAGCACCUUAAGGUUAAUAAGGAGAAAAAAACAGAUGUGAAAUUGCAAUAUAGAAAUGUCCAUUCAAUCUAGAUGGUAGUGCAGCUCUUGCAGUGUGGUGGAGCUUUAAGGAAGGCUGAUGGAUGACUGCUUCUUUUCGAAGCAACAAGAUUAGAAAUGGCUGCUCUACUUCUGUCUGAUGUAAGAGCACAGGCCCAGGAUGACUGCUCAGGAUCUUCUUGCAGGAGUGUGACCUCUGUAUGACUUGAGACAAAUUGUGACAGUUCAUGGAUUGCUGCAUUUCCCCUCAUGUAUCAUUCAUGAUGUCAGCUCCCCUUUUAUCCUUCCGCUCUGUUCACUUAGCAUCAUGGCUGUGGGAAGCAAUCUCAACUGAAGUACCACUGAGCACCUUCAGAGAGAUAAUGCCUUUCUUAUUCUUCCAAGAAGAGUCUGAAGUGUCCUUGGGAGUGGCAUCGUUCACAGGUGGAAGUAUUUGUGAAGAUUUUGAAGUCAAGGAUUCAAAGUCAUGUGGAUGGAGCACACCAAGUGCCUGGGGUUUUAUUGCUUCGUGGCUUCGGGAUUGUUCACAGCUCCUCAGUUCUACUUUUAUUGACAGGCUCUUCUUUUCACCUUGCUGUGUUUGAACAGAGUGUACCUUUUUGUUACAUAUCACUGUUUUAACACCAUAUGUUGUAGAACAGCAAUUAGACUCGCUGGAAUGCAUCGACAUCCCUUCCUGAAGUGGUAUCAGUGAUGGUGGCAUCUACACUUAACUUGUUUUCUGGUUUCGACUGAUAUCUUGUGGUCUUGGCUUCUUGACCUGCACUUCUGUCAAUAGGUGGCAACAUGUCUAAGCAGAACAGACACUUGGAAGUUUUGUUUGCCUUAAAGUGCUUGACUUGUUUUUGCAGCUGAAAGCAGGCAAGUGGAUCAGUUCUAUCCCAGCCGUGCACCUGGUCAUAGAGAAACAGUAGAUCUAAGGCAGCCCAGAGCACUGCAAGGAGAAAAAUGUAGAGGAAAUAGUGUUUGCUGAUGUAAAUAAGCUGCCACUUUGUGCUGGAAACAAGCAGUUAGGUUGGAUAUUAGGAAAAAUUCUUCUCCAAAAGAUUGGUCAGGAGCUGGAACAGCUCAGGGAGGUGGUGGGGUCACCAUCCCUGGAGGAGUUCAAGAAGGGUUUAAGUGUGGUACUGAAGGACAUGGCUUAGUGGGAAACAUCAGUGGCAGGUAAAUGGUUGGACUGGGUCAUCUUGGAGGUCUUUUCAACCUCGGCGAUUCUGUGGUUCUGUGAAUCCUUUUCAAAAGAACACAACUAUUUCUAUGAGAAAAAAAAAUACUAUAAACGGAAUGGUCCUUUUCACUUCC
ensembl:lncRNA